UACGGAGGGGGCUAGCGUUGUUCGGAAUUACUGGGCGUAAAGCGCGCGUAGGCGGACCUGCAAGUCGGGGGUGAAAGCCCGAGGCUCAACCUCGGAACUGCCUUCGAUACUGCGGGUCUCGAGUCCGGGAGAGGUGAGUGGAAUUCCUAGUGUAGAGGUGAAAUUCGUAGAUAUUAGGAAGAACACCCGUGGCGAAGGCGGUUCUCUGGGACGGUACUGACGCUGAGACGCGAAAGCGUGGGGAGCGAACAGG
rnacentral:rRNA from 1 species